rnacentral:tRNA from 3 species
GGAGGGGUGGCUGAGUGGUCGAAAGCACCGGUCUUGAAAACCGACGAGUCGAGAGGCUCCCAGGGUUCGAAUCCCUGCCCCUCCGCCA